rnacentral:sRNA from 1 species
GGGAUUAAAGGCGUACACCACCAUACCUGGUUUGCUUUUUGAAACUGGGUCUUAGAGUGUGACUCA